GAUGAACGCUGGCGGCGUGCCUAAUACAUGCAAGUCGAGCGAAUGGAUUAAGAGCUUGCUCUUAUGAAGUUAGCGGCGGACGGGUGAGUAACACGUGGGUAACAUGCCCAUAAGACUGGGAUAGCUCCGAGAAAACGGGGCUAAUACCGGAUAACAUUUUGAACCGCAUGGUUCGAAAUUGAAAGGCGGCUCCGGCUGUCAAUUAUGGAUGGACCCGGGUCGCAUUAGCUAGUUGGUGAGGUAACGGCUCACCAAGGCGACGAUGCGUAGCCGACCUGAGAGGGUGAUCGGCCACACUGGGACUGAGACACGGCCCAGACUCCUACGGGAGGCAGCAGUAGGGAAUCUUCCGCAAUGGACGAAAGUCUGACGGAGCAACGCCGCGUGAGUGAUGAAGGCUUUCGGGUCGUAAAACUCUGUUGUUAGGGAAGAACAAGUGCUAGUUGAAUAAGCUGGCACCUUGACGGUACCUAACCAGAAAGCCACGGCUAACUACGUGCCAGCAGCCGCCGUAA
rnacentral:rRNA from 1 species